rnacentral:rRNA from 1 species
UACGUAGGGGGCAAGCGUUGUCCGGAAUUAUUGGGCGUAAAGAGCGUGUAGGCGGCCAGAUAAGUCCGCUGUGAAAUCUCGAGGCUCAACUUCGAGCUGUCGGUGGAAACUAUCUGGCUAGAGUCCGGAAGAGGAGAAUGGAAUUCCUGGUGUAGCGGUGAAAUGCGCAGAUAUCAGGAAGAACACCCGUGGCGAAGGCGGUUCUCUGGGACGGUACUGACGUUGAGGCGCGAAAGCUAGGGGAGCAAACGGG